rnacentral:rRNA from 1 species
AUUGAACGCUGGCGGCAGGCCUAACACAUGCAAGUCGAACGGUAACAGGAAGAAGCUUGCUUCUUUGCUGACGAGUGGCGGACGGGUGAGUAAUGUCUGGGAAACUGCCUGAUGGAGGGGGAUAACUACUGGAAACGGUAGCUAAUACCGCAUAACGUCGCAAGACCAAAAAGGGGGACCUUCGGGCCUCUUGCCAUCGGAUGUGCCCAGAUGGGAUUAGCUAGUAGGUGGGGUAACGGCUCACCUAGGCGACGAUCCCUAGCUGGUCUGAGAGGAUGACCAGCCACACUGGAACUGAGACACGGUCCAGACUCCUACGGGAGGCAGCAGUGGGGAAUAUUGCACAAUGGGCGCAAGCCUGAUGCAGCCAUGCCGCGUGUAUGAAGAAGGUCUUCGGGUUGUAAAGUACUUUCAGCGGGGAGGAAGGGAGUAAAGUUAAUACCUUUGCUCAUUGACGUUACCCGCAGAAGAAGCACCGGCUAACUCCGUG